rnacentral:misc_RNA from 1 species
UCGUCGAUGCUUGAUUCGGAUGAAUUUCUGAGGAAGUUUCAUCACGCGCUUUUGGAAGUUCAUCUUGAGGAGGGGGCUUUGGUUUGUCCUGAGACGGGUCGUAGGUUCCCAGUGAAUAAAGGGAUUCCUAAUAUGCUUCUUCACGAAGAUGAGGUUUGAAAACCUUUUUCCUGGAAGCUAUUGUGAGAUGUAGAUUAGGGUUU